rnacentral:lncRNA from 1 species
UAGUGCAAGUGCUUAAUUUAUUGUUGCAAAUUCGUGAAACAUUGUGAAGUUGUUGAAUUGAAGUUUUCAAGUGUUCAAUUUCAACGAUUUUCAAUUUUAAAGAAGUUGUUCGUCAAUCCGGUAAACUCGUUUCAACUCUUACGUGCUAAGAAUAUUUUUGUGUGUUGUUAUUUUGCUUAAUGAUAAUUAUUAUGGCAUUUUCAUUGAAAAAUAUGUUCGGAAAAGGAAAAUCUAAAACCGGUGAAAGUAGUCGCCAAAAUACUACCCCCUCCCCGGCUCCCCGACCUAGAAAAGAUAAAUAAGUUCAAAGUAGUAGCCAAC